UUUGACCUCGGAUCAGGUAGGGAUACCCGCUGAACUUAAGCAUAUCAAUAAGCGGAGGAAAAGAAACCAACAGGGAUUGCCCUAGUAACGGCGAGUGAAGCGGCAACAGCUCAAAUUUGAAAUCUGGCUCUCUUUGGGGGUCCGAGUUGUAAUUUGCAGAGGAUGCUUUGGCAUUGGCGGCGGUCUAAGUUCCUUGGAACAGGACAUCGCAGAGGGUGAGAAUCCCGUACGUGGGCGCCUGCCUUUGCCGUGUAAAGCUCCUUCGACGAGUCGAGUUGUUUGGGAAUGCAGCUCUAAAUGGGAGGUAAAUUUCUUCUAAAGCUAAAUACCGGCCAGAGACCGAUAGCGCACAAGUAGAGUGAUCGAAAGAUGAAAAGUACUUUGGAAAGAGAGUCAAAAAGCACGUGAAAUUGUUGAAAGGGAAGCGCUUGCAGCCAGACUUGCCCGCAGUUGCUCACCUAGGCUUUGGCCUGGGGCACUCUUCUGCGGGCAGGCCAGCAUCAGUUUGGGCGGUUGGAUAAAGGCCUCUGUCACGUAUCUUCCUUCGGGAUGACCUUAUAGGGGAGGCGUAAUGCAACCAGCCCGGACUGAGGUCCGCGCAUCUGCUAGGAUGCUGGCGUAAUGGCUGUAAGCGGCCCGUCUUGAAACACGGACCAAGGAGUCUAACAUCUAUGCGAGUGUUUGGGUGUCAAGCCCGGGCGCGCAAUGAAAGUGAACGGAGGUGGGAACCCUUUGGGUGCACCAUCGACCGAUCCUGAUGUCUUCGGAUGGAUUUGAGUAAGAGCAUAGCUGUUGGGACCCGAAAGAUGGUGAACUAUGCUUGAAUAGGGUGAAGCCAGAGGAAACUCUGGUGGAGGCUCGCAGCGGUUCUGACGUGCAAAUCGAUCGUCAAAUUUGGGCAUAGGGGCGAAAGACUAAUCGAACCAUCUAGUAGCUGGUUCCUGCCGAAGUUU
rnacentral:rRNA from 1 species